rnacentral:rRNA from 1 species
UACGUAGGGGGCGAGCGUUGUCCGGAGUUACUGGGCGUAAAGCGUGCGCAGGCGGUUCGCUAAGACCGAUGUGAAAUCCCCGGGCUUAACCUGGGAACUGCAUUGGUGACUGGCGGGCUAGAGUAUGGCAGAGGGGGGUAGAAUUCCACGUGUAGCAGUGAAAUGCGUAGAGAUGUGGAGGAAUACCGAUGGCGAAGGCAGCCCCCUGGGCCAAUACUGACGCUCAUGCACGAAAGCGUGGGGAGCAAACAGG